rnacentral:rRNA from 1 species
CUACGGGUGACAGCAGGCGAGAAAACUUUGCAAUGUGCGCAAGCACGACAAGGUUAAUCCGAGUGGUUUCUGCUAAAGGAACCUUUUGACAGUCCUAGAAACACUGUUGAAUAAGGGGUGGGCAAGUUCUGGUGUCAGCCGCCGCGGUAAAACCAGCACCUCAAGUGGUCAGGAUGAUUAUUGGGCCUAAAGCAUCCGUAGCCGGCUCUGUAAGUUUUCGGUUAAAUCUGUACGCUUAACGUACAGGCUGCCGGGAAUACUGCAGAGCUAGGGAGUGGGAGAGGUAGACGGUACUCGGUAGGAAGGGGUAAAAUCCUUUGAUCUAUUGAUGACCACCAGUGGCGAAGGCGGUCUACCAGAACACGUCCGACGGUGAGGGAUGAAAGCUGGGGGAGCAAACCGGAUUAGAUACCCGGGUAGUC